rnacentral:miRNA from 1 species
CUCUCCCUCCCAGACCCUCCCUCCUCCUGGACAGCAUCCAUUUUGAAGCUGCAUUCUUAGUGAGCUGUCCAGGAGGUGGGAGGGUCUGGGAGGGAGGG